CUGCUUAAUUUGGUAGCACAUGUACUAAAAUUGGAACAAUACAGAGAAGAUCAGCAUGCCCCUGUGCAAGGAUGCCAAGCAAAUUCAUGAAACAUUCCAUAUUUUU
ensembl:snRNA U6 U6 spliceosomal RNA